rnacentral:rRNA from 1 species
GAUGAACGCUGGCGGCGUGCCUAACACAUGCAAGUCGAACGGAGAUUACGGACGGAAGUUUUCGGAUGGAAGACUGUAAUUCUUAGUGGCGGACGGGUGAGUAACGCGUGGGCAACCUGCCCUAUACAGGGGGAUAGCAGCUGGAAACGGCUGGUAAGACCGCAUAAGUCGGCGAGACCGCAUGGUUUUUGCCGGGAAAUGAGCAAUCAGGUAUAGGAUGGGCCCGCGUCCGAUUAGCCAGUUGGCAGGGUAAAAGCCUACCAAAGCAACGAUCGGUAGCCGGACUGAGAGGUCGGACGGCCACAUUGGGACUGAGACACGGCCCAAACUCCUACGGGAGGCAGCAGUGGGGGAUAUUGCACAAUGGAGGAAACUCUGAUGCAGCGACGCCGCGUGAGUGAAGAAGUAUUUCGGUAUGUAAAGCUCUAUCAGCAGGGAAGAUGAUGACGGUACCUGACUAAGAAGCCCCGGCUAACUACGUG